rnacentral:rRNA from 1 species
CCUACGGGAGGCAGCAGUGAGGAAUAUUGGUCAAUGGACGCAAGUCUGAACCAGCCAUGCCGCGUGCAGGAAGACGGUCCUAUGAGUUGUAAACUGCUUUUGUACGAGGGUAAACGCAGAUACGCGUAUCUGUCUGAAAGUAUCGUACGAAUAAGGAUCGGCUAACUACGUGCCAGCAGCCGCGGGAAUACGGAGGAUUCAAGCGUUAUCCGGUUUUAUUGGGUUUAAAGGGUGGGGUGGCGGUCGGAUAAGUUAGGGGGGAAAUGCCGGGGGUCAAAGCCGGAAAUGCGUCGGAUACUGGAGGGCUAGAGAGUAGGUGAGGUAGGCGGAAGGUAAGGUGGAGCGGUGAAAUGCAUAGAGAU